rnacentral:lncRNA from 1 species
GAGGUGACUUGUAAUAAGGUGACUGCUCAUAGUAUUUUUGAGGAGGUGAAGGUGACUUGUAAUACAAAGGUGAUUUUUCAUAAUAAGCUAGUGGUGGUGGAGACUUGUAGUAAAUUGGGGACUCGUAAUAUUUUGGUGGAUGUGGUGACUUGUAGUAUUUAGAGAGAGUAGGCGAUUUGUAAUAUUUUACUGGGGAUGGUAACUUGUAAUACUUUGUAGGUAAUGGUGACUUGUAGUUUUUGAUGGAACUGGUUACUUGUAGUAUUUUGCAGGAACUGACGACUUGUAAUACUUCUUUGAAGAAGCUGGUGACUUGUAGUAUUUAGCGGAAGCUGGCGAGUUGUAGUAUUUUGCGGGAACCGGAGACUUAUAGUAUUUUGGGGGAGCCAGCGCACUGUAGCAUUUUGCGGGAGCUUGCUCCUUGUAGUAUUUUGCAGGAGAUGACGAAUUGUAGUAGUUCUUUGAAGGAGCUGGCGACUUGUAGUAUUUUGCGGUAGUUGGGGACUUGUAGUAUUUAGCGGGAGCUGGAAACUUGUAGUAGUUCUCUGAAGGAGCUGGUGAUUUGUAGUAUUUAGCGGGAGCAGGCGAUCUGUAGUAUUUUGUGGGAGCUGGCGACCUGUUGUAUUUAGUAGGAGCUGGCAACUUAUAGUAUUUUGCGGGAGCUGGCGCCUUGUAGUAUUUUCCUGAAGCUGGUGACUUGUAGUUCAGGGAACUAACGCUUGUAAUAUUUUACGGGAACUAGUGACUUGUAGUAGUGUAUUGCAGAAGCAGGUGACUUGUAGUAAGGAGUAGGUACAUGAUACUUGGGUGAAGAUGGUGACUUGUAAAACGUAAGAAAUGUAAGAAGAUGAGGUAGAAACAUACCCAUAAGAGGAAUCAACAAAAACAAUGUUGGCUACAAAGCAAAUUGCCAAAGCAGCAGCAAGAAGAGGCCAUUGCCCUAAAUUCCCAAAGCUUCUCAUUUUGCAGCUAUAUCGGGACAAGAGAAGGAUAGAACUAAGACUUGUGUUGCAUAGUUGAGUAAGGAACUCUAGUUUUAUACUGCAGGGAGACAUCUUUCUUUAACAUUUAUAUAUUUAGAAUUAAGACUUGUGUUGCAUAGCUGAAACACGAAAAAUUCCAGUAUAAUAAAAAUUGGUGCACAUGUGUAUAAACUUCCAACAUAUUCUGCUGGAACUCCACCACAAGGAAAGUUCGGGCAUAAUAUAAUAGAAAUUAGAGGUCAUGAGUAUGAACUCUCAGCAUAUUAUGUUGGACCAGUAUAUUAUGCUAGAAUAUUUUCUGGAUUCUGAUUAGUAUUCUCGUUCAAAUUUAUCUUUACAUGAAAUAUGACUAAAUUUGGAUUAUUUUUAAAACUGUGACUACUUUUCAAUUGGAAAAUUUCUGUUCUUAUACCAUGUAGGAAACUAUAUUACCAAAUAUGUUCAUAGUUUGCGACCCUUCAUGCUAAUAGUAUUUCUACAAAAUAUAGACAAUGCAUUAAAUAAGUAAUCAUUGUAGCUGUAGGAUUCCUUAUUUAGGCGCUCUAAAAUUUGGGAAUUAAAUAUUCUUCAAGAUUUUCCACAAAGCAGAUCACGCACAUUCCAUAAUUACGGCUUCACUCUGAUCUUCCACAAUACAGAACAAGAUUUUCCAUACUCUGUUUUUGUGAUACACUCUCUUUUCAGAAUUCUCUCUACAUCUCUCUCUAUCUCUUAAUCCCAAAUUUCAGUAAUACAAAGCAAAUGAAAAAAGAGUAGCAAUUCCACCAUUGAAUGCCAUUAAAAAACUUAAAAAUUUGAAUUCAAAUUUGGGUUUACAAAAAUUAUUAUUUGUUUGGAUUGGUGCCGUUGAAAAUAAUCAGGAAUAUGAUUUGAAGUUUAUAUCUCAAUUUUGAGGGAUUUUGGUGAAGAUUAGACUUGGUUUUGACUGAAUUUUAGAUUGAAACUCGAAGAAGAAGAAGAAGAAUACAUGACAUACAUUAUAUUGCAGAGAUUGAAAUUAGAGCUGAAGCUUUUGUGUUGUAACUCGAAAACUUCAGCUCUAGAGCUGAAAUUUUUGGAGGAGAAGGGAAGGAGAAAGGAAAGCUGAAGUUUAUUAAAAAGUGGGUACGGGUACAAAAAAAAGAUAAAGCAAUUACAAGUUAAAAAUGGACGCCCCGUGCAAUUUUUACUGAAUUUUGAGGGAAGGUAACCUUUCAUCAGGAAAAAAUAGUUAUGUCUAAACUUUUGCAAGGUCUUCAUAAUUACAGCCUAUUUUUUUCUUCAAGUUCUGUUCUUUUAAUUACUCUAUUCCCGGUUGAUAAUAAUAGUGCCCUUUGCAUUUCAUGGGGGUGUGAAAACUACAAGUGUUAGAAAAUAACAAUUUACAAACAACUAUAUCAAAAGUUUUCUCUUUUAUUGACGAAUCAUACUAUUGUAAGUUGUUUGUUAAUUUAUUAACCAAUUGAAAGCACAUCGUGCUGGAAUUGAAUUAUGUAAUUGUAAUUAUUUUUGUAAGGCUAAGUGACCAUUUCUGAACUAUCUAACAUUUGAUUGUAUCUCAAACAAGAAGUUUAGUAAUAUAUAUUAAUAUUAGUCUUUAACAAACUAGAUGGUUUCUUCCUAUCGAAGUCAAGUUGGUUAGACUUACUCAGGUACAUGUACAAGUGGAAGGUACCAAAUAUAUCAAAGGCGGAUCUAAAAUUUCUAAAACAUAGUGCACCACAAAAGAAAGGAGCAAAAAUAAGUAUUAAGUGGAAUUGAUCCUUAUUCUUUGGGUAAGUAACUCAUUAUUCGACCAAAUACAUUAUACAUUCUUUUGGAGUAUGAGGGCCAGCAGAUAAUAUAAGACCAAUUGUAGAAAAUACAUACUUAAAAUAUCGAGUUUGACAAAGAGACCAUAGGUUUAUGUGCCCUAUAAUCUGAGCUAUAAAUAUGUCCCUUAGAUAUACAGCAAAAUAGUCAAGAUAUGUGCAAACAGACUCGUACCAAUUCGUCAUUAAAAAGGAGAAAAUUUUAAAUUAGUAGCAUGAAGAAAGUGUUGCUCGACUCAUUUACAUCUCCAUAAGUACAUCACACUUUGUUUCAAAGAUAAUUCUUGUUUUCUUUUGAUGCUUGCAUUGUUAGGACAUUGUAGUUGAUUAUAUAUCAUGGUAUUAUACAAAGUUAUUGUAACUAAAAAAUUGUCAUAAUUAAAAAGAUUCAAGGGCUUACACGCCAUGUCUCAAAAUUUAUAUCUCAGCUUGUGUCCCCGUCUUUUUUCAAGGGCUUACACGCCAUUAUAUCUCGGCUUGUGUCCCCGUCUUUUAAUACACUAUGUCAAAUAUUCAAAUUUUAGAAGUGUGCCAUCUUAGCCUUUCAAUUAUUUUCUUACAUCUUUAGAAACUGUUAAAACAAAUUAAUAUAUUCAUAAUUUAGCAAUUCUUUAGUGGAUAGGCUAUAAAUCAUUUUAGGGGAAAAUAACUCUCAAGAAUAAUUUCAACUAAGUUUGAAUAUAUGUCCUGAACUAUAUGCUUACGGACCAACGAAAGAAUUCAGGCGAUUAAAGCACGCAUUAUGAGACGAAGAAGAUGACACAAUUAAGAAAUGUUGAAUGCACAAAAUCUCGAUAUAAUGAGAAGAAUUGAUGGAGAUCUUGAGGAUCUUUCAUAAAUCCCAAAUAAAUACAGAAUACAAAUUAAUAAAAUAGAACACUGAAGACACAAUAAGCAAAAGCCGAUCAUUUCGAGAAGCAUACAUCAAAUUUUGGCGGAGGAAAUGGAGCUGCUAAUGAUAAGAGGACAAAAAGGAAUUAAAAGUCAUGGAAAUAGCGGAAAAUGAUUGAAUAGUUAAUAUCAGUAAUACGUUGGUGGAGGAGAUGCGGAUGGGGGUGGAGGUGAAGCAUAGGUAGCGGAUUGCUCGUACUUUUCAGGUGGUGGAGGUGAGGCAUAGGUGGGAGUUUGCUUGUAAUAGUUCGUUGGUGGUGGAGGUGAGUAAUAAGAUGGUGAUUUUUCGUAGCUAUAGUUCGCUGGUGGUGGAGGUGAGUAAUAAGAUGGUGAUUUUUCAUAGGUCUUUGGCAGAGAUGGCAAGUCGUAAGUUAUAGGUGAUUGCUCGUAGUAUUUUGGUAGCGGUGGAGGAGAUUUAUAGGAAGGUGUAGAUUCUUUAUAGUACGGUGGAGGUGGAGAUUUGUAAGAAGAUGGCGAUUGCUCGUAGUAUUUUGGUGAGGGUGGAGGAGAUUUAUAGGAAGGUGUAGAUGCUUCAUAGUACGGUAGAGGUGGAGAUUUGUAAGAAGAUGGUGAUUGCUCAUAGUAUUUUUGAGGAGGUGGAGGUGACUUGUAAUACGAAGGUGAUUUUUCAUAAUAAGCUAGUGGUGGUGGAGACUUGUAGUAUUUUGCGGGAGCUCGCGACUUGUAGUAUUUAGCGGGAGCUGGCGACUCGUAGUAUUUUUUGAGAGACGGCGCCUUGUAGUAUUUUGCGGGAGCUGGCGACUUGUAGUAGCUCUUUGAAGGAGCAGGCGAUGCGGGAGCUGGCGACUUGUAGUAUUUUGCGGGAGCUGGCGACUUGUAGUAUUUAGAGGGAGUUGGCGACUUGUAGUAUUUAGCGGGAGCUGGCGACUUGUAGUAUUUUGCGGGAGAUGGCGACUUGUAAUAUUUUGCGGGAGCUGGCGACUUGUAGUAGCUCUUUGAAGGAGCAGGCGACUUGUAGUAUUUAGGAGUAGUUUGCGACUUGUAGUAUUCAGCGGGAGCUGGCAGCUUGUAGUAGUCCUUUGAAGGAGCUAGUGAUUUGUAGUAUUUAGCGGGAGCUGGCGAUAUGUAGUAUUUUGUGGGAACUGGCGACUUGUAGUAUUUAGUAGGAGCUGGUGACUUGUAUUAUUUUGCAGGAGGCGCCUUGUAGUAUCUUACUGAAGCUGGUGACUUUUAGUAUUUUACGAGGAGCCGGCGACUUAUAAUAUUUUGCUUGAGCUGGUGACUUGUCGUAUUUUACGGGAACUGGCGAC